GGCGCAAGCCUGAACCAGCCAUGCCGCGUGCAGGAUGACGGUCCUAUGGAUUGUAAACUGCUUUUGUACAGGAAGAAACAGUUCUACGUGUAGAACCUUGACGGUACUGUAAGAAUAAGGAUCGGCUAACUCCGUGCCAGCAGCCGCGGUAAUACGGAGGAUCCAAGCGUUAUCCGGAAUCAUUGGGUUUAAAGGGUCCGUAGGCGGUUUUGUAAGUCGGUGGUGAAAGCCCAUCGCUCAACGGUGGAACGGCCAUUGAUACUGCAAGACUUGAAUUAUUAGGAAGUAACUAGAAUAUGUAGUGUAGCGGUGAAAUGCUUAGAUAUUACAUGGAAUACCAAUUGCGAAGGCAGGUUACUACUAAUAUAUUGACGCUGAUGGACGAAAGCGUGGGGAGCGAACAGGGUUAGAUACCCCGGUAGUCCACGCCGUAAACGAUGGAUACUAGCUGUUCGGAGCAAUCUGAGUGGCUAAGCGAAAGUGAUAAGUAUCCCACCUGGGGAGUACGUUCGCAAGAAUGAAACUCAAAGGA
rnacentral:rRNA from 1 species